AUGUGCCUCAAUCCAGCCACCAAACAAGUGAUAAUACAAAGAGGCAGGAAGAGGCAAGCUAGAGGAGGUGGUAGAGGAAAUGCUACAGGAGGUGGGAGGGGAAAUGCUACAAGAGGAAAUGGAAGGACAAGAGGAGGAGGUGCAAGAGGAAAUGGUGGAAGAGGAACUCUAUAUGACAAUGGAGGAAGGACUGGACCAGGGGCUGGAUUCUGGAACUUGAUGUUUGGACCUGAUUCAGAUAGGUCACAUGUGGCAGCAGAGGAAGAGCCAAUCACACAAAAUGCACCAAGAGGGGAUGAGUGGGAUGAUGACUUCAUGCACAUGUAG
rnacentral:rRNA from 1 species